rnacentral:rRNA from 1 species
AUGUCUAACGUAGGACCCUGAUCGGGUUCAUGGACAGUGCCUGAUGGGUAGUUUAACUGGGGCGGUUGCCUCCCAAAGAGUAACGGAGGCGCCCAAAGGUUCCCUCAACCUGGUUGGCAAUCAGGUGGCGAGUGUAAGUGCACAAGGGAGCUUGACUGUGAGACUGACAGGUCGAGCAGGGACGAAAGUCGGGACUAGUGAUCCGGCAGUGGCUUGUGGAAGCGCUGUCGCUCAACGGAUAAAAGGUACCUCGGGG